GCAUAUCAAAAAGCGGAGGAAAAGAAACCAACCGGGAUUGCCUUAGUAACGGCGAGUGAAGCGGCAAAAGCUCAAAUUUGAAAUCUGGUACCUUCGGUGCCCGAGUUGUAAUUUGGAGAGGGCAACUUUGGGGCCGUUCCUUGUCUAUGUUCCUUGGAACAGGACGUCAUAGAGGGUGAGAAUCCCGUGUGGCGAGGAGUGCGGUUCUUUGUAAAGUGCCUUCGAAGAGUCGAGUUGUUUGGGAAUGCAGCUCUAAGUGGGUGGUAAAUUCCAUCUAAAGCUAAAUAUUGGCGAGAGACCGAUAGCGAACAAGUACAGUGAUGGAAAGAUGAAAAGAACUUUGAAAAGAGAGUGAAAAAGUACGUGAAAUUGUUGAAAGGGAAGGGCAUUUGAUCAGACAUGGUGUUUUGUGCCCUCUGCUCCUUGUGGGUAGGGGAAUCUCGCAUUUCACUGGGCCAGCAUCAGUUUUGGUGGCAGGAUAAAUCCAUAGGAAUGUAGCUUGCCUCGGUAAGUAUUAUAGCCUGUGGGAAUACUGCCAGCUGGGACUGAGGACUGCGACGUAAGUCAAGGAUGCUGGCAUAAUGGUUAUAUGCCGCCCGUCUUGAACCACGGACCC
rnacentral:rRNA from 1 species